rnacentral:tRNA from 1 species
GCAUUGGUGGUUCAGUGGUAGAAUUCUCACCUUUCAUGCAGGAGACCCUGGUUUGAUUUCCAGCCAAUCCA